rnacentral:rRNA from 1 species
GAUGAACGCUGGCGGCGUGCCUAAUACAUGCAAGUCGAACGCUUCGAUUUAUCGAAGAGUGGCGAACGGGUGAGUAAUACAUAAGUAACCUGCCCUUAACAGGGGGAUAACUACUAGAAAUGGUAGCUAAGACCGCAUAGGUGGAUUGAUCGCAUGAUCGAUUCAUUAAAAGACCUUUCAAGGUCUGGAUAAGGAUGGACUUAUGUCGCAUUAGCUAGUUGGUAAGGUAACGGCUUACCAAGGCGACGAUGCGUAGCCGGCCUGAGAGGGUGAACGGCCACAUUGGGACUGAGACACGGCCCAAACUCCUACGGGAGGCAGCAGUAGGGAAUUUUCGGCAAUGGGGGAAACCCUGACCGAGCAACGCCGCGUGAAGGAAGAAGGAAUUCGUUUCGUAAACUUCUGUUAUAAAGGAAGAAAGAUGAUAUCAGGAAAUGGAUGUCAAGUGACGGUACUUUAUGAGAAAGCCACGGCUAACUACGUGCCAGCAGCCGCGGUAAUACGUAGGUGGCAAGCGUUAUCCGGAAUUAUUGGGCGUAAAGAGGGAGCAGGCGGUAACAAAGGUCUGUGGUGAAAGCCUGAAGCUUAACUUCAGUAAGCCAUAGAAACCAGGUAACUAGAGUGCAAGAGAGGAUCGUGGAAUUCCAUGUGUAGCGGUGAAAUGCGUAGAUAUAUGGAGGAACACCAGUGGCGAAGGCGACGAUCUGGCUUGUAACUGACGCUGAGUCCCGAAAGCGUGGGGAGCAAAUA